GCUGCUCAUGUGAAGUUUAUUCCUCUUUCCUAGCCCGGUUCCAGCAAAGCACAGGUGUCCUUCCCGGCUAGCGUGGCGGCAGCGUGACGGCACUGUGUGUGUGUGUGUGUGUGUGUGUGUGUGUGUGUGUGAGUGUGAGUGUGUGAGAGAGAGGGAGGGGGAGGGGGAGGGAGAGCGAGAGCGAGAGCGAGAGCGAGAGCUGGGAGGGGACAGGAAGAGAACCGCAUUGCCGGUGUGGCCAGGAAAGCCGGAUGUUAAAUGCAUCUGGGCUGACAAGAUACGGGCGGCAAGGGGCCCCCAGCACCUGCAGGAAAAGUGCCAAGCAGGGUAGGCACUGGGAGCCACAGGCUGUGAUGGGAGCUGGGCUUCUGCACGGAUAACAGCCUGCGGGGGGCAGGAUGGAGGCACGGAAACCCGCUGGAGACCCUUGUGAUGUCCAGGGGACAGAGGUGGGCUCCUGGCCAGGAGCAGCGUGGGCUGGUGGAGGGGUCAGUCUGCAUGAAGGCCAAGGACACACACACGUGCCAUAAAAAUAGUGCGGCAACUUCUAAAAGCACCCAGCCGCCCUGGCCCGCUGCUCCGUGCUUAGAGCCUCAGCCCUCAAACCAAAGGGUUGUGAGUUCGAUCCUCUGGCCUCGGUCUGGCUGCUACCUGAGAGAGCAUGAGGGCAGGGGAAAGUGUGGCCACCAGCUCUGACUGUAGGACACGAGGACAUCGGCCGGGCGUCACCUCGCGGCCGUAAGGAGAGCUGGGGGGCUGUAAGCAGACCCUGGAGAGGCCACGGUUAGGAAAGGACCGCCGGGUGCCGCACAGACGCCGGAAGCCGUUUCUGUGGAGCUGGGGUUCAUUCGCAGGGAGGGAGAGAGGAAGGGAAGGAGGGACGCCUGGGGGGCGGGGGUGUCUGCCGAAGUUCCGAUCCUGACCCGGGUGAGGGUACUGGCGUAUCCGUAAGUCAAUGAGUGAUGUGUUUGUUUUGUGUCAUUUUCUGUGUUUCUAUGGUAAAAGAUAAAAAUAAACGAUCAUGUCAAACACUUUUUAAAAGGUGCACAGUGCUUUUAUUGAGAAAUGCCGAAGACAUUUUAAAACUUGCACGCCUUGAUCUUCAGAGCUGUAACUGCCCCGUGUGGCUCGAUGGUCUGAGCUUCACCCUGUUCACUGAAAGGCCGCAGGUUCAGUUCCCAACCCGGGCACACACCCAGGUUACGGGUUCCAACUCCGGGGGCGGGGGGUGGGUGUAUGGGAGGCAACCAAGUGAUGUUUCUCUCUCCCUCACCCUCUCUAAAACCAAUAAAACACAUU